UAGGUCUGCAUCUAAACCGUAAACAACGUGGUGUGUAUUUGGAUCAUACUCUGGUUUCACUCGUUGAGAUCGAAUAAAUUCCAUGAUCUUAUGCUCACCUUCACCAGGAACCGAGGCGUCAGAAAGUAUAAAUCUGACAUUUCUCCAGCACGGAUCACUAUUUAGUUUAUUUAUUAUGUAGUAACGAAGAGACUUGGCCAAAGUGUCCAUGAAAGGUGUGCCGGGGGUAAUGCAAUUACUGUCCCAAGAUUUUUUCUUCGUAGCGUUUUCGUCGAUGGGAAUUCCCUGUUGUUUUGCCUCCUCAAUGAAGGCUUGUAAUUCUUCUUCUUUGAGAGCUGCUUCACGAGAAGAACGAAAACGACGUGAUCUCUGCUGAUUCAUUUUGGCUCUAGGAGCCACGCCAUCGAUUGCAAUGAACAAUAACUGACGAGGACGAACCAUGGCAAGAAUACGAUCCGUGUAUUCAAAGACAGCAACCAUCAUCUCGUCUUCAGUCUCUGGAGCGGGGCGAUCUUCAGGAUGGGAACAAGGAUGAACAAUACCA